GGAGGCAACUCUGACGCAGCCACGCCGCGUGCUGGAAGACGGCCCUAUGGGUUGUAAACGCUUUUGGUCGGGAAGAACCCCGGAGUUCGACUCCGGCUGACGGUACCGAUUGAAUAAGCACCGGCUAACUCCGUGCCAGCAGCCGCGGUAAUACGGAGGGUGCAAGCGUUGUCCGGAAUUAUUGGGUGUAAAGGGUGUGCAGGCGGAAGUCUAAGUCGGAGGUGAAAUCUUGCCGCUUAACGGUAAAAGGGCCUUCGAUACUGGAUUUCUUGAGUUCGGAAGAGGUUGGUGGAAUUCGUGGUGUAGCGGUGAAAUGCAUAGAUAUCACAAGAACACCGGUGGCGAAGGCGGCCAACUGGUCCGACACUGACGCUGAGACACGAAAGCGUGGGGAGCGAACAGGAUUAGAUACCCUGGUAGUCCACGCUGUAAACGAUGCAUGCUAGUUGUUGCCUCUUCGGGGGCAGUGACGCAGUUAACGCAGUAAGCAUGCCACCUGGGGAGUACGUUCGCAAGAAUGAAACUCAAAGGAAUUGACGGGG
rnacentral:rRNA from 1 species